ensembl:lncRNA
AUCACUAAGCUCAUCUAGUCCAACCAUCAGCUCGUCACCACCAUGCCCACUAAACCAUAUCCCUCAGUACCACAUGUAUUGUUUUCUUGAAAACCUCAAGGGAUGGUGAUUCCACCAUCUCCCUGGGCAGCCUGUUCCAAUAUCUCACUACGCUUUCUGGGAAUAAAUUUUUCCUAAUAUUCAACCUGUAUCUCCCCUAGUGCAACUUAAGGCCAUUUCCUCUUGUCCUGUCGCUGAUUAUCUGUAAGAGACAGACCUCCACCUUGCUACAACCUCCUUUCAGGUAGUUGUACACAUAUAAUGAAAUGCUUUCAAAAGCUUUAGAAGCUUUCUUCUAAAUAAUUGUAGGUUUCUCUUUUACCUCAUUUGUUCCACAUUUAAAAGUGAAGACUACUUUAAUCCCCAGUGAAGCUUACUGCUAGGGCUGUUUCUUUUAGAAGAUUUGUUAUGUGUUUUAUUCACUUUUUUGCAUUUACUUUUAAGAGAAACAAGAUUUGCAGGGAAAAAGAGUAUAUUACAUUAGAAAUAGAAGUUUUCAGUCAUGCAAGCUGUUUGGUACCAUGUUGACAGCCACUGCAGCAUGUGUGGGCACCUAUUCAUCCAAAGUUUCCUUUUUUCUUUUGUACCUUGUUUUAUGGUAUUAAGUGUCAGAAACAGACUGACAGAAACCUUAUGGAGUUCCACAAGGAGUAUAUGUCCCUGCUCCUGGCAGAUAAUCUUUAAAGGUCCUUUCCAAUCCAAACUAUUAUAUGAUUCUAGGAAAAGCGAAGUCAUUUGGGGUCUGCUACAGGCUGCCUGAUCUAGUGGAGCCAGUUGAUGAAGCCUUCUUCCUCCAGGUAGAGGAGACACUGUGAUCACAGGCUCUUCUCCUGUUGGAGACUUCAACCACCCUGACAUCUGCUGGAAAGGUAGCAAAGCAAGCUGUAGGCAAUCCAGGAUGCUCCUGGAAUGUAUCGAGGAUAACUUCCUGAGCCAGGUAAUAGACAGCCCCAGCAGGGGGGGUGCAGUGCUGGACGUGUUGCACACCAAUGAGAGGAAACUGAUUGGUGACAUCAGUAUUGGAGUCUGCCUGUGUUGCAGUGACCAUAAAAUGGUGGAUUUCAUACUCCGGAGGGAUAUUGGACAGGCAAAGAAUAAAAUCAGGAAGCUUAAUUUUAGGAAAGCCAACUUCCAACUCUUCAGGAAGUUAGUCAACAAAACCCUCUGGGAAUCUGUCUUCAAGCACAAAGGAAAGAAGCAGAGCUGGCAGAUCAUAGAAUCAUAGAAUCACAGAAUGGCCUGGGUUGAAAAGCACCACAGUGAUAACCUAGUUUCAACCCCCCUGCCAUGGGUAGGGUCGCCAACCACUAGACCAGGCUGCCUAGAGACACAUCUAGCCUGGCCUUGAAUGCCUCCAGGGAUGGGGCAUCCACAACUUCCUUGGGCAACCUGUUCCAGUGUGUCACCACCCUCUGAGUGAAAAACCUCCUCCUAAUAUCCAACCUAAACCUCCCCUGUCUCAGUUUAAGACCAUUCCCCCUUGUCCUAUUGCUAUCUACCCUUGUAAACAGCCAUUCUCUCUCCUUUUUAUACACUCCCUUCAAGUACUGGAAGGCCACAAUGAGGUCUCCUCAGAGCCUUCUCUUCUCCAGGCUAAACAAACCCAGUUCCCUCAACCUUUCCUCAUAGGAGAGGCGCUCCAGCCCUCUGAUCAUCUUAGUGGUCCUCUUGUGGACCUGUUCCAAGAGCUCUGUGUCUUUCUUGUGCUGGGUGCCCCAGGCCUGGAUGCAGUACCCCAGAUGGGGCCUUACAAGAGCUGAGUAGAGGGGGACAAUCACCUCCCUCUCCCUGCUGGCCACUCCUCUUUUAAUGCAGCCCAGAACACAGCUGGCUUUCAGGUCUGCAAGUGCACAUUACUGGCUCAUGUCCACCUUCUCGUCCACCAAGACCCCCAAGUCCUUCUCCACAGAGCUGCUCAAGGAGUUCUUCACCCAGUCUGUUUAAACACCUGGGAUUACCCCGGCCCAAGUGCAACACCUUGCACUAGGCCUUGUUGAACCUCAUCAGGUUCAAAGAUCUUUAAAGAAGCUUUCCUUAGGACACAAGAGGUCUCCAUUCUCAGGUGUAGGAAGUCAGCAAAAGGAAGGCAAGCAACUGACUUGGCUGAACUAGGACCUGAUGGUCGAACAGGAGAGCAAGAAAAAAAUGCACAGGCGGUGGAAGCACGGACAAGUAACCUAGGAAUAGUUUAAGAAUGCUGCUAGGCUGUGUACGGAUGGGGUUAGGAAGGGCAAGAUCCAACUGGAACUUUGCUGGGGGUGUAAAGAAGGGUAAGAAAGACUUAUAUAGGUAUAUCAACUGGAAAAGGGAAGUUUGAGAGUGUGUACCCACUCCAGUGAGCAAAACAGGCAGGCUGGUAGCAACAGACAAGGAGAAGGCUGAGGUAUUUAACAACUUUUUUUGUUUCAGUCUUCUCUAGCAAUUGAUCUGUACACGGCCCUUGAGUGGAAGCUGGGAACUGGGGGAGCGAAGCAAAGAUCACGUUUGCGACUGCCUGAGGAACGUCCAUAAGCCUAGAGCUGAAAAACAUGUCACUACUCUCUGCUUGGGCUGACCUGCUGGUAUUCGUGUUCAAUGCCUAAUAUGUGCAAUGUAUGAGAACUGGAGAGAUGACAGAUGACAUCAACUGUAGGAGGUGCUCAGCUGCACCAGCUACUGCUAGAAUGAACCAGAGAACGCUCUGUGAUGACUUUGCAGGCUAUGGUGAGACCAAAAUGCACUAAUGAGGCUUAUGAGGGACUUCCAAGAGUCUAUAUAUCUAAAGUGAAAUUUUGAAGAAAAGUAGCAGUCAUAGGAGAGCCCCAAAGGAGUCACUGAAAAAGAAAGGAAAUUUAUACACAGCACACUGUAAGCAGUUCAUCUUCUGUUUGUGGAUGGGAAGCAUGCUCUUUCUAAGCUUUGUACAGGCAACAAGAUAAAAGGAAAUGAACUCACCAUGAGAGCCAGCAAGAUUUUAGCUUCUGCUCAAAGUAUUCAGGCAAAUCAGUAUAUGAAACAUUGAUUUUAUAAGCGCUCUCAGUCUGUCAGGCAUGUGUGCUACAAUGAAAGUAUGAAGCAGUGGAAAAUGUUCUCACAGUCAUAUGUUCCUGGUAUCUUUUGUGAUUAAGAGGGGAAAACAGCCAUCAAGCAUUUGAAGUCAGAGAUUUGCUCAAUUUAUUAGCAAUAGCUGAACAGACUAUCAUGACUUUAUAUCUAGUUCCAAGUAAAGUCUUUUGUAUUGUUAAGACAAAGUAGUUGUGCUUUCUAAGUCCUGACAUUUUCAAGUUGACUAUUGAUACCAGCUCCUCCAUGAAAUGUUGAUGUAAGUAUCUCAGUUUUGAAAAAGUUUUGAGUUCUGCAUAUAUUGAUAAUGUUUAUGUAGGUUGCUCUUGAAAGUAAUACCUCCUGUUUAUUUCCAUGGAAACAACAACAGAUACAAAGAACCCAGUAGCACUGUUUGAUAGAGCAAAUUCUCAGCUACAGAAUGCUAUUUUUCAACAUAGUCACCACCAUUAGCCAUGUGUUUUCACCAGCAAUGAAUAACAGCCUGCGUGCCACGCUUGUAAACAUCUGAGCCAGUGGAGUUGCCCCACUGUCACAGUCACUACUGCUGAAACACACAACCCACUGUCUCACUGUACUCACAUCCUUUCUUUGGUCUCCAUUAAUGUUCAGCAGAUGUUGAUGAAGGUCAAUGUGUGCCAUUUUUUCCACAAGGAGGAAUUCAAUUUCACAUCUUUGUUUCAUACUCACUUCCAUGACAGAAGACAUUUUGUCAGACUGCCCCUCUGCUGCCAUCUGUCUCACGGCAACAAAAUGUAAUGGAAUAUUGGUGGGAAGGUUCAACCUCUGCUGGCAUACCACCAACAUUUGCCUCUGAUGCUGCAGACCAACAUAAUAAAAUAGGAGGCAUUACUUUCAGAGCAUGAUAGUGUGUUGACAGAAAAAGUGUACGGUAGAAAGGCAGAGUUAUGCAGAUAAUAUAUUUAUGAUUUUUUUUCCUCAAAAUAAAAUCACUUUUUAAAUCUAAUACAUGAAAAGCUUAAUUUCAGGACUAAUGCAACUUCUGCUCAUUGUGUUUUGGUCUUAAACUUUGAAAUAACAAGUAUCUGUACAUUUUUUUCCGAAAGUUUUUGAAUUAAGCAAAUUGAAUAUUAUCUCUGUAUAAUAAUUUCUUGCUUUAUAGUCUAAAGUUUAGAUAGUAAAUAGAUUAGUAAAUUCGUAAGUAAAUUAGUAAGUUCCAUUUCGGUAACAGGGUGAGUUCAUGUGUAGAUGUUCUUUUAUAUCAGACAUGCACUGACACUUAAUGCUCUGCAGUAUAGUAGUAAAUUAGAACUGAAAUCUUGAGAUAUAUUUUGUAAUAUUUAUAUCAAAUAUAUAGUAUUAUAUUUAUUUCUCUAUUUAAGGUAAAUUAAUCUGGGUGGAAGAAUCAAUAUAAAUUGUUUAUCAGAAUUUAUCUUUCUAUUAGUUAUCUCACUGGUGGAGAAAAACAAUGUUUUUAUCAUGCAUUGUUUAAAUUCUGAACGAUCACAAAGUUUGGUAGCAUUACAUGGAGAUGGGGUAAAAGGGAGAGGCAGUUGUUUGGGCUGUUGUUGCAACCACUGUAUUAGCUUUACAUGUAUGAGGUGUUAUCUUGAUAGCUAUCUUACAGUCUCCUACUAUGUGCAGUUUUAUGUAUUUAUGUAAGUUGGGAAAUGGGCCAAAAAUUCAAGGGGAAAGAAGUUUGGGAAUGCAAUCUAGCAGUAGUAUAUUAAAAGACUGGCAUUAAGGUCUCAAAAAAAAAAAAAAAUUCUAAAGGCUAUCCCAGAUUUGUGAGUCCUAACUGUGUUGUGGAAACAAGGCAAAACACACAGAAUGCAUUAAUAUAAGAAGAGUUGAGAGAGCUGUGUUCCUCUGGGUGCUGGCUAGUAAAGGAAAUGCAUCUCUGAGAAGAGAAAGAGGAGUCAUUGAACCAAAAAGAGUACCUGUUUCUUCAAAUAACUCUGAGAAUUCAGUGGAUAAGAAUUAUUUUAGAUUUUUAAUUUAUAACUCAAUUGGAAAACAACAGUCCCGAUUAUAAGCUUGCAAGUUUGACAGCACUUCUGUCAACAUGUUACGUUUUAGCAAAGUGAGGGAGCAUGAGAUGCAAGACUACUUCAUUGCAGUUCAGUGUGUAAAGUGAAACAUUAAGAAAAAAAUAUGCCUGUGCUUCCCUGUUUGAGGGCUUUAAUUAGGUGUAGCGUAUCUCCCCCACCCAAUCAUUUUCCUUAAUAAUUUGGAAUACUGACUUAAUGAAAUUCCGUGACUUAAAAUGAGAAAUAUAUUUUUGUCAGAAGAAAAACAAGUUACUAGAAAUCAAUAGUUUGUCUUAUUAUUUUAGCAGUGAAGAACAAGGAAUAUUAGCUUUGGU